GGGUAUGAUUCAUUCUUGCAUGCGCUUGAUCGAUCUCUCCAAUACCCAUUAGACUGGAGGAAUAGGAUCAGCGCAAAACGAAACCACCGUAGGCGGACCAGGGGAAGACGGUGGAUGGUAAGCGAUGCCGCUAGGUGACAGGCGCGAUUCGCAUCUCGGGUGUCCAAUCCCAUUCAAUAACUUCAAAGUUUCAGAGUACGAGAAGACAUAUGAUUGGAUGAGCAGAGAAUUGAAAUUUCAUGUCUUGAUGGUUUGCAGUUGCAUGUACAUACCGUAUGACAAAUCAAAAUGAUGGUUGGGCUGACAACAAAGGGAUCUUCAUUUUAAGAGGCUUCCAACAAAGCUUUUGCUGAUGCAUAUGCGGUGACGGCAGUUAGCCAAGUUGUUGUUCAGCCGGAAAGUUCCAAUUAAAAGAAGCAGAGUUCAAAGCUCCGUCUAUCUAAGCUUCUAUAUAUAUAAAUGAAAGAGGGGAGGAUUUACGAUCGUUCAUCAGGGUUGCAGUUUAUAAAUAUUGAGGCAGCAAAACCAUUUUGAUUAAGGUUGUGUUUAUGCAGUAUGAUCGUGUGGUAUUUGGUGCCUGCCACACUAUCUUCACUACUUAUUACGCCUUAGUCAGAGGUAUAGUUUCAUCUCAAUUGAUGGACUUUGGUAUGGUGUUAAGAACAUCGAGUAAUGGAGUGGAGUCGGAAGAAAUCAUACCAACUUCAAUGGCAUAGGUUCUCUCAAGAAGAAUGUGCCAACAUUGAUACAGUUAUUGGCAUUGAGAAAAAAAAAACUCAAAACCAAGUCAAGCCAUAUGGUCUAGAUAAUGAAACUAUUGGAGAGCGGAUAAAGAUCCAAAUAUAGCAGUACCUGAAGAUGAGAUUCUGGAAGAGUGUCAGAACGAGGACAUCUUUUAUGGGAAUGAUAGAUAACCUUUUGUUGCAUGCGAUUAUUUAGCUAUUUCACAUUUCUUUUGUACACUUGAUUUGAAUAGCUUGGAUUCACUUUCAGCUUUAAUAUACUGUGUUUUUUAACCUCUCCAUGUUCGAUCUCUUUGGUCUAGAAAAAGAUGGUCAAAACAAUGCCCAUUUUAGGUUUUAGGUUUGCAGCAUGUUUUGGAAUUUGGAGACUUCAAAUCACUGUUCGAUUAAUGCUCAAGUUUUUUUUUGGAUGAGUUUUUCUUUUUUAUACUCUAUUUUUCUUUUGCAAUUUGUAAAAUAAAUA